UAGGACGACUUUAUUUUGAACAAUAUUUUGAUAAAUACUUUUGAAAUCGUAUUAUUUUGAUAAUUUGUUUUAAAAAUAACUUUAUUUAGGUAAAAAAUCUCCAUAUUUCGAUAAAAAAAUCCUACUAAAUUGGAGUAAAACAUGAGAGCUAUAUUAUAAGAAGUAUUAUAGAGGUGAUGAAUAGGGGCAGUGCAUGGGA
rnacentral:lncRNA from 1 species